rnacentral:lncRNA from 11 species
ACAGAGAACUACAUCCUAUCGAUAAAUGAAGGAAGUUCAUCAGGAUAACACUAUCCAAUUCACAAAGUUAACAAGGAAGGCAUCAAAGUUAAUAAGGAAGACAUCAGUACAAAAUGAACAAAGGAACUCAACAAAGAAGCUCAACUCUCAGAACUUGAAAACGUUUCUUCUGGGAAUAGCAACUCUCAAAAUUCUCCAGUCCACAUGACCAAAGAUUCUGGGAAUUACAGUCUAAAAUGUAGCUUUCCUAGUCUUAGCCAUAUGGAUUUGAAAUAUAUUGUUGAAUUGCAUUGAAUUUUUGAAUGUCUGUGGAGUCCUCAUUCAGUAAACUUCCAAGGUCAGGU